rnacentral:rRNA from 1 species
AGGAUGAACGCUAGCGGGAGGCCUAACACAUGCAAGCCGAGCGGUAUAUUGGAUUUAUUCAGUAGAGAGCGGCGUACGGGUGCGUAACACGUGUGCAACCUACCUUUAUCAGGGGGAUAGCCUUUCGAAAGGAAGAUUAAUACCCCAUAAUAUAUCAGAUGGCAUCAUAUGAUAUUGAAAACUCCGGUGGAUAAAGAUGGGCACGCGCAAGAUUAGUUUGUUGGUGAGGUAACGGCUCACCAAGACUACGAUC